GAUGAACGCUGGCUACAGGCUUAACACAUGCAAGUCGAGGGGAAACGACGGGGAAGCUUGCUUCCCCGGGCGUCGACCGGCGCACGGGUGAGUAACGCGUAUCCAACCUGCCUCUGACUGAGGGAUAACCCGUCGAAAGUCGGCCUAAUACCUCAUGGCAUCGUCUGCGGGCAUCCAACGACGAUUAAAGAUUUCAUCGGUCAGGGAUGGGGAUGCGUCUGAUUAGCUUGUUGGCGGGGUAACGGCCCACCAAGGCUACGAUCAGUAGGGGUUCUGAGAGGAAGGUCCCCCACAUUGGAACUGAGACACGGUCCAAACUCCUACGGGAGGCAGCAGUGAGGAAUAUUGGUCAAUGGGCGGGAGCCUGAACCAGCCAAGUAGCGUGCAGGAUGACGGCCCUAUGGGUUGUAAACUGCUUUUAUGCGGGGAUAAAGUGAGGGACGUGUCCUUCAUUGCAGGUACCGCAUGAAUAAAGACCGGCUAAUUCCGU
rnacentral:rRNA from 1 species